AGCUUUUCGAAUCUUUGCUGAGAUUUCGUCAAACACCAAUUCAUUAACGCUGAUCAGACUUCCAAGAUAAGUGAAUUC
rnacentral:pre_miRNA from 1 species